AUUGUGGUUAGAAAAAACACACAUAACAGAAGUUACCAUCUUACUCACUUUUAAGCAUACAGUUCAGUAGUGUAUUCACAUUCUCGUGCAAUAGAUCUUCAGAACUUUUUCAUCUUGCCAAACUAAAAUCCUGUAUCGAUUAACGCCCCAUUUCUCCCUCCCCCAGCCCCUGACAACCACCAUUUUAUGGUAUAACUGUGAUUUUGACUUGCGUUUCCCUGAUGGUUAAUUAUACUGAACAUCUUUUCAUGUUUUUAUUAACCGUUUGUAUAUCUAGUUAGUUCUUUAACCUUUUGUUUUUCAGACAGAGUCUGGCUCUG
rnacentral:lncRNA from 1 species